rnacentral:rRNA from 1 species
GACAGAGGUGCCGAGCGUUAGGCGGAAUCACUGGGCUUAAAGCGUGUGUAGGCGGACUCGUAAGUGCUUUGUGAAAUCCCACGGCUCACCCGUGGAACUGCUUGGCAUACUGCGAGCCUUGAGCCACUUAGGGGCAACCGGAACAAACGGUGGAGCGGUGAAAUGCGUAGAUAUCGGAAGGAACGCCGGUGGCGAAAGCGGCGUGCUGGCCCUCUUCUGACGCUGAGGCGCGAAAGCCAGGGGAGCGAACGGG